GACGAACGCUGGCGGCGUGCUUAACACAUGCAAGUCGAACGGAAAGGCCCUGCUUUUGUGGGGUGCUCGAGUGGCGAACGGGUGAGUAACACGUGAGUAACCUGCCCUUGACUUUGGGAUAACUUCAGGAAACUGGGGCUAAUACCGGAUAGGAGCUCCUGCUGCAUGGUGGGGGUUGGAAAGUUUCGGCGGUUGGGGAUGGACUCGCGGCUUAUCAGCUUGUUGGUGGGGUAGUGGCUUACCAAGGCUUUGACGGGUAGCCGGCCUGAGAGGGUGACCGGCCACAUUGGGACUGAGAUACGGCCCAGACUCCUACGGGAGGCAGCAGUGGGGAAUAUUGCACAAUGGGCGGAAGCCUGAUGCAGCAACGCCGCGUGCGGGAUGACGGCCUUCGGGUUGUAAACCGCCUUCGCCUGUGACGAAGCGUGAGUGACGGUAAUGGGUAAAGAAGCACCGGCUGACUACGG
rnacentral:rRNA from 1 species